rnacentral:rRNA from 1 species
GACCAGACUCCUACGGGAGGCAGCAGUGAGGAAUAUCGGUCAAUGGGCUUACGCCUGAACCAGCCAAGUCGCGUGAGGGAAGACUGCCCUAUGGGUUGUAAACCUCUUUUGUCAGGGAGCAAUUGGCGCUACGUGUAGCGUUAUCGAGAGUACCUGAAGAAAAAGCAUCGGCUAACUCCGUGCCAGCAGCCGCGGUAAUACGGAGGAUGCGAGCGUUAUCCGGAUUUAUUGGGUUUAAAGGGUGCGCAGGGCGCCUUUUUAAUACGCGGUAAACAGCCGGGGGCCCACCCCCGGGGAGCCGUUGAAACUGGCGGGCUGGAGUUGGAGAGAAGUACGCGGAAUGCGCGGUGUAGCGGUGAAAUGCUUAGAUAUCGCGCAGAACCCCGAUUGCGAAGGCAGCGUACCGGCUCCACACUGACGCUGAGGCACGAAAGCGUGGGUAUCGAACAGGAUUAGAUACCCCCGUAGA